GUGGGGAAUUUUGGACAAUGGGGGCAACCCUGAUCCAGCCAUUCCGCGUGAGUGAAGAAGGCCUUCGGGUUGUAAAGCUCUUUCGGCAGGAACGAAACGGUGAGCUCUAACAUAGCUCGCUAAUGACGGUACCUGAAGAAGAAGCACCGGCUAACUACGUGCCAGCAGCCGCGGUAAUACGUAGGGUGCGAGCGUUAAUCGGAAUUACUGGGCGUAAAGCGUGCGCAGGCGGUUGUGUAAGACAGGUGUGAAAUCCCCGGGCUUAACCUGGGAACUGCGCUUGUGACUGCACGGCUAGAGUAUGGCAGAGGGGGGUGGAAUUCCACGUGUAGCAGUGAAAUGCGUAGAGAUGUGGAGGAACACCGAUGGCGAAGGCAGCCCCCUGGGCCUGUACUGACGCUCAUGCACGAAAGCGUGGGGAGCAAACAGGAUUAGAUACCCGGGUAGUCC
rnacentral:rRNA from 1 species